CACCGCGGUUAAACGAGAGGCCCUAGUUGACAAUGCAACGGCGUAAAGGGUGGUUAGGGAGAGCAAUAUAAUAAAGCCAAAUGGCCCCUUGGCCGUCAUACGCUUCUAGGCGCCCGAAGCCCAAUAUACGAAAGUAGCUUUAGAAGAGCCCGCCUGACGCCACGAAAGCUGAGAAA
rnacentral:rRNA from 1 species